rnacentral:rRNA from 1 species
AUUGAACGCUGGCGGCAGGCCUAACACAUGCAAGUCGAGCGGAUGAGUGGAGCUUGCUCCCUGAUUCAGCGGCGGACGGGUGAGUAAUGCCUAGGAAUCUGCCUGGUAGUGGGGGACAACGUUUCGAAAGGAACGCUAAUACCGCAUACGUCCUACGGGAGAAAGUGGGGGAUCUUCGGACCUCACGCUAUCAGAUGAGCCUAGGUCGGAUUAGCUAGUUGGUGAGGUAAAGGCUCACCAAGGCGACGAUCCGUAACUGGUCUGAGAGGAUGAUCAGUCACACUGGAACUGAGACACGGUCCAGACUCCUACGGGAGGCAGCAGUGGGGAAUAUUGGACAAUGGGCGAAAGCCUGAUCCAGCCAUGCCGCGUGUGUGAAGAAGGUCUUCGGAUUGUAAAGCACUUUAAGUUGGGAGGAAGGGAAGUAAGUUAAUACAUUGCUGUUUUGACGUUACCAACAGAAUAAGCACCGGCUAACUUCGUG